rnacentral:lncRNA from 1 species
AAACUCUGUCUCAGAAAAAAAAAAAAAAAAAGCGACAAAUUGAAAAUGCAUCUAAUACACCUAACCUAACAAACAUCAUAGCUUAGCCUACCUUAAACAUGCCUGGAACACUUACAUUGGCCUGCAGUUGGGCAAAAUUACCUGGCAACACAGUACAGUGUAGAGUAUUGGUUGUUUGCUGUCAUGAUCAUGUGGCAGACUGGGAGCUGCGGCUUACUGCUGAUGCCCAGCAUCAUGAGAAAGUAUCACCCUGCAUAUCACUAGCCUGGGAAAAGAUCAAAAGUCAAAAUUCCAACUAUGGUUUCUACUGAAUGUUUUUGUAUCAUCUUAAAGUAGAAAAACUUGAACCAUCUUAAGUCAGUACAUUGUACCAUCUGUAUUACAAUGAUUACUCUGGCUUUCUCUGAAUUGUUACACUCUUUAAAUUUCUAAGUACCUAAAACAUUAUAGUAUCAACAUGUCUCUACUCUAUUUUCUGUAACUUUUACAGCAUAAGAAAUGUGCUUCAAAGGCCUCCAUGGUUUUAGAAAAAUAAGGGGUUUCCCUCCCUGCUAGGAAAUGUGUCAACAAGGUACAUUAAUUGUGUUAUAGUUCCCAAUCAUUUGCCCCUCUCUUCCAGUUUCAAUUAAGAGGUUUGCAUAGCUUGGCAUAUUGCCGUGUGACUUGCAUUGUCAUCCUGUAAGUGAAAUAUACUUUCUCUCCUCAAUGUCAGGGUUGGCCAUGGGACUGACUUCUGCCAGUAAUAAUGAACCAGAAGUAGUGCGAGUCCAUUCCUAGAGGAAGCUUUAUGUACUGUUGACUGUUUCCACCAGCUGCCCUGCUCUUUUCCCUUUGCUAUAAGAAUAACAUGUUUCCAACGUGACUCCUCUUUUUUCAGCCUGUGUUCUGGCAGGUGACAACAUGUAGAGCAGAGGCAAAGCUCAUCACAGCCAAGAAUACAAGCAAGAGCUAAACUAUAGUUAUUGUAUGCUACUAAGAUGUUAGGGUUAUUUAAUAAUAAUUUCAUAACCCAGUGAGAGUUGAUUAUAUACAUAUACAUAAGAGACUUUUAUUCUAAUAUACAAGUAUAUAAAUAAAAAUUCUACUCUUUUUGGUCUGACGCUAUUAAAAUUUCUUGUUAAGCAUAAUCUAAAAGAUUAUCUGCACCUGGGGGACAUCUUUCUUCUUUCUCCUCAGGUGGGCUUUAACUAUUACCAGAUGCCACACCUGAUGAGAGUUUGUCUCACGGAGUGUCUGUCAUUAUUCCCCCCACACAGCUGUUGAGAGGAGGGAAAAUGAAAUGUCUAGAAUUGAUCCUUUCAUCUUCCCUCUUUUUAAAAUGUGAAUUCUCAUCCUUUCUCCAAAUUCUUCUAUUAAUAAAAGCCCACAAAAUGAUGCAUAGUGGAAUUGAAGCAGAGGGCAUCCAAGCAGGACUUUCAUUCUUUCCGAAAUAAUUGAACUAAAGCAAAGUUGCCUGAGGAAUGAAAUGUGAUGUUCCCUCAUUGCACCCCACCACAUUGUGUGAACAUGCCUCUAAACAUCUCAUAAACAAUUUUGCUGCUACUAAUUAAAAAAUAAGAAAAAAGUUAUUUUUUUUAAUUUUUAAUUUUUAAAUUUAUUUUAAUUUUAAUUUUUUUUUUUUUUUUUUUUUGCUUUUAGGGGCAGCAAGUGAAAUUGCUUAAAAAAAUGGCAUGACUUGGCAGGCUAUAUUUCAUCAGAAUUAAAAACAAUUGCCUUUAACAUUACGAAAAGAUGAUUUUAAGAGAACUAGCUUAAAUGUACUAGAUUUUACUCUGACUUGGUAUAUAUACAGAUACAAUUUUUGUUUUUCCUUUUUUCCUCACACCAAUUCAACUUCAGUAAUUUAUUUCUCAUGCAAUUCAAAUUGCUGUCUUCCUUUUAGAAAUAGAUUAGUCAUAACAAAGGUAGAAAAGGAGAUCUAGGCCUGGGAGAUUUCAUAGACAUUCUUUAAGAAUAGCAGUCAUUUACUCUUGAAAAGGAAAAUUUUUUAGGGAGAAUGUAUAAAGGGAAGACAGCACCAGAGCUUCUUUGUAAUCUCCAUAUGGGAGCCCAUGAUUGCCAUGAUGUGACUCUGUUUUAAGGAGGACUAAUUACUUUUAGCAAGUAAACCUCUUUGGGUAGAAGUCAUGAAAGAAAUACUUUAUAUGAAAUCUCAUGAAACACGAGGGUGUAGUGGAAACAAUGCUAUGUGCUCACUGUGGUAGGCAGAAUAAUGCCUCCUCAAGAUACUCACAUCCGAAUCCCCAGAACCUGUGAGUAUGUUACCUCCUGUGGCAAAAGGGAUUUUGCAAACGUGAUUAGUAUCCUUGAGAUGAGGAUAGUAGCCUGGAUUAUCCAGGUGGCCCAAAUAUAAUCACACGAGUACUUAAAAUAGUUCUCAAAUAAGGCUGGAAAGGGACAUUAUUAGGGAAGAAAUAUCAGAGAUGAAAAGUUCCUGCCUUUGAAGAUGAAGGAAGGGACUACGACUCAACAAAUGUGGCCUCUAGAAGCUGGAGAAGGAUGACAUACAAAGAAGGACAUCGCUAGACGCAGGCUCCUUGACGCUCGACUUCCCAGCUUUCACAACUAACGUAGAGAAGAAAAAGGACUCUGGAGGAAGGUUGUAAAAGAUGGAAGGACUAAAAAUGGAGACACUUUGUACACUUGAAUCAUUGCAUGGAAGCCUACCAUGAAGUAUCAGUUGGACUAGAACUUCACUAAAUAAACUUCAAAGCCUUUAAAAACAUUCCUCUGUCUUUUUUAUGUUAACCACCAAACCAAUCUGUUGAAUUCUGUUUUGCUUCCUUCUAGAUAAAGUAAAUUUUGGUAUUUGGGAAUAGUAAUGUGAUGGUUAAUAUUGAGUGUCAACUUGAUUGGAUUGAAGGAUGCAAAGUAUUUUCCUAGGUGUGUCUGUAAGGCUGUUGCCAAAGGAGAUUAACAUUUGAGUCAGUGGGUUGGGAAAGGCAGACUCACCCUCAAUCUGGGUGGGCACCAUCUAAUCAGCUGCCAAUGCAGCCGGAAUAAAAGCAGACAGAAGAACGUGAAAAGACUGGACUGGUUUAGUCUCUCAGCCUACAUCUUUCUCUACUGUUGGAUGUCCACUGGGAGCUGGGUCUGUGGCCCUUAGUGCUCCUAUUGUUCCAUUCUAUUCAUAUUCUUCAUUCUUCUACUCAGUACUGGGCAAAGAUCAAACCAACCUGUAGUUCCCUUGAUAAAAGGGCAGGAUGCUUCCUGCCCUUGAACAUCGGACUCCAAGUUCUUCAGCUUUGGGACUCUUGGACCUUGGACCACAGGCUGAAGUCUGCACUGUCAGCAUCCUUACUUUUGUGGUUUUGGGACUCGAACUGCCUUCCUUGCUCCUCAGCUUGCAAACAGCCUAUUGUGUGACCUCACCUUGUAAUCAUGUGAGUCAAUACUCCUUAACAAACUCCCCUUUAUUUAUACAUCUAUCCUAUUAGCUCUGUCCCACUAGAAAACUCUAACUAAUACGAGCAGUAUAAAUUUAAGUUUUGUUUCCAGCCUCAAGGUUGAGGGCGUUUUAUCAAGGGGACUACUGGUUGGACUGACCUCUGUCCAGCACCAACCAGAAGAUGAAGAAUAAUUUGAAUAGAAUGACACAACAGGAGCACCAAGAGCCACAGACCCAGAUCCCAGGGGACAGUUACAGGCCCAGACAGGCAAGAUCUAGAACCAAAUGAAAAAAUAAUAGAGCAAACACUGAUUAGCUCUUAUCACCGAGAAAAGCAGCUUUCCCAUCAGACUUGUUUGUUUUAUAGUCAUGCUGUGUUCAGGUGGCAGAGCCUAUGACCCUGUGGCUCAAGGGAGCAGGUGCAGUUGAUGUACCAUAAAACACAAAGGGAGUAGAUAUUUGAAACAGGGUUCUAAUACCAAUUUUACUGCUUAUUAACUGUGUAAACUUAAAAUACUAUUAAAACCUGCGUACGUUUCUCAAAUGAGGAAAAUAUAACUAUAAUCCCAUUGGAUUAUUAUGACAAGUGGAAUAUUAAAGGUGAAAUAAGUAAUCAAGAUUUAAUGCAUUCAUUCCUUUCCUCUCCUCUGAUUAACAUAAAAUGAGGACUGGAUUUUUCAGGAGCCUCUUACGGUCACUAGCUGCAGAUUUAUUGAUAUUCUUAGCAAUAUUAAAAAAGUUGUGUUACAGUAGAGGAUCCAAUAGGCAAGUAAAUAGUAUCUGGGCUGAAUUGCUACAUCUGGCAGUAAUGUAAUUCCUUCUAAUUUAAACCCCAACUUUUGUGGAUUUCACAUAUGUGAUUAAGGGAUAGGGAAAUGCUGUAGAGAUAAGAAUUGCUGCUCAGCAUAAGUGAAAAGUGCCUGCCUGUCUCACCUCCCUGCCAACUGGCUUGUACAACUCAUAAUGUCUCUGUUUUUUUACUCUCUUCAUUUACUAAAUCUCAGCACUUCAUUCCCUCCUGUUGCAGGCAGGAAAAAGAUAAAUUUUUGUUUGAAUAUCAUCUUAAGUAAAUUAGUGCGUAUAGGCAUGAUUUGUAUAAUUACAGCUGUUAAUAAUUAGUGUAAAUAGAGAUCAUGUCACAACUAGCAAAUGUAAUUAAAUCACAUAAGAAGUCUAGAAAAACCUACGUUUUGUGUAGGAAAAGAAUGCAUUAGAUAAAUUGUAAAAUUGUUCUAUAGAAAACACUUAAAACAUAUUGUGCUUCAUAUCUAGUUACAAAUAAUUGCAAACCAAGGUUUCUUAGGAAUAUUUUUGUGUAUUUUAAAUAAUUUUUUAAGUCAAAGAAAUAAAAUACCCAAGGCCAUGCACGGUGGCUCACGCCUGUAAUCCCAGCACUUUGGGAGGCCCAGUCGGGUGGAUUACGAG